UUGAACGCUGGCGGCAUGCCUUACACCUGCAAGUCGAACGGCAGCACGGGUGCUUGCACCUGGUGGCGAGUGGCGAACGGGUGAGUAAUACAUCGGAACAUGUCCUGUAGUGGGGGAUAGCCCGGCGAAAGCCGGAUUAAUACCGCAUACGAUCUACGGAUGAAAGCGGGGGACCUUCGGGCCUCGCGCUAUAGGGUUGGCCGAUGGCUGAUUAGCUAGUUGGUGGGGUAAAGGCCUACCAAGGCGACGAUCAGUAGCUGGUCUGAGAGGACGACCAGCCACACUGGGACUGAGACACGGCCCAGACUCCUACGGGAGGCAGCAGUGGGGAAUUUUGGACAAUGGGCGAAAGCCUGAUCCAGCAAUGCCGCGUGUGUGAAGAAGGCCUUCGGGUUGUAAAGCACUUUUGUCCGGAAAGAAAUCCUUGGCCCUAAUACGGUCGGGGGAUGACGGUACCGGAAGAAUAAGCACCGGCUAACUACGUG
rnacentral:rRNA from 1 species